GUGCACACAUACAUUCAAACUUCUUCUAGCACAUUCUUAGAACCACAUCAGCAGUUAGUUUGGUUUAGAUUUGCUAGAUGGCACUUCAGCACAGCGCAAAAUCUU